rnacentral:rRNA from 1 species
CUGCGGCGGAUUAGGUAGUUGGUGGGGUAACGGCCCACCAAGCCUAAGAUCCGUACGGGCUGUGGGAGCAGGAGCCCGGAGAUGGACCCUGAGACAAGGGUCCAGGCCCCACGGGGCGCAGCAGGCGCGAAACCUCCGCAAUGCGGGAAACCGCGACGGGGUUAGCCGGAGUGCCCGUGCAUUGCACGGGCUGUCGGGGUGCCUAAACAGCACCCCAUAGCAAGGGCCGGGCAAGGCCGGUGGCAGCCGCCGCGGUAAGACCGGCGGCCCGAGUGGCGGCCACUCUUAUUGGGCCUAAAGCGUCCGUAGCCGGCCCAGUAAGUCCCCCGGGAAAUCUGGUCGCUUAACGAUCAGACUUCCGGGGGAUACUGCUGGGCUAGGGACCGGGAGAGGCCGAGGGUAUUCCCGGGGUAGGGGUGAAAUCCUGUAAUCCCGGGAGGACCACCUGUGGCGAAGGCGCUCGGCUGGAACGGGUCCGACGGUGAGGGACGAAGGCCUGGGGAGCGAACCGGAUUAGAUACCCGGGUAGUCCAGGCUGUAAACGAUGCGGGCUAGGUGUCACCGGAGCUACGAGCUCCGGUGGUGCCGGAGGGAAGCCGUUAAGCCCGCCGCCUGGGAAGUACGGCCGCAAGGCUGAAACUUAAAGGAAUUGACGG